rnacentral:rRNA from 1 species
GACGAACGCUGGCGGCGUGCUUAACACAUGCAAGUCGAACGGAAAGGCCCUGCUUUUGUGGGGUGCUCGAGUGGCGAACGGGUGAGUAACACGUGAGUAACCUGCCCUUGACUUUGGGAUAACUUCAGGAAACUGGGGCUAAUACCGGAUAGGAGCUCCUGCUGCAUGGUGGGGGUUGGAAAGUUUCGGCGGUUGGGGAUGGAUUCGCGGCUUAUCAGCUUGUUGGUGGGGUAGUGGCUUACCAAGGCUUUGACGGGUAGCCGGCCUGAGAGGGUGACCGGCCACAUUGGGACUGAGAUACGGCCCAGACUCCUACGGGAGGCAGCAGUGGGGAAUAUUGCACAAUGGGCGGAGGCCUGAUGCAGCAACGCCGCGUGCGGGAUGACGGCCUUCGGGUUGUAAACCGCUUUCGCCUGUGACGAAGCGUGAGUGACGGUAAUGGGUAAAGAAGCACCGGCUAACUACGUG